AUCCCUGAUAUAGAUGACUGCAGAAC
rnacentral:rasiRNA from 1 species